rnacentral:lncRNA from 1 species
UUGAGGAAUCACCACACUGUCUUCCACAAUGGUUGUACUAAUUUACAUUUGCUGGUGCUGUUUUCUACAUUGAAUCUGAGGGCUACUGUAUGAUGUGUAAGACACUUUCUGAUUGGAGCCUCACAAUGAUCCUACCAGGUGAUUACAACUGAGCCCAAGUUUUAGAGGAAAAAAAUGCAGACUCAGAGAGAGAAAAGUGAUUUGCCCAAGGUCACAUAGCCAGCUAGUGGCAUUGAACCCUGGCCUUUUGACUUUAAAUCUAUUGCAAAUUCUACCCCAGCAUAGGGUUCUCUUUGGGGUGUGUGUGUGUGUGUGUGUGUGUGUGUGUGUGUGUGUGUGUGUGAAAUGGGGAGAUAAAGAAGCCAACAGUGUUUGCCUUUGCAGAGCAUGCAGUCCAUUUGGAAACAUGCAUGUGGGAAAGUGGGGAGGGACCCUGUCAAGCAUCUAAGAGGAGUGGUGGCAUUUGCUGUGUCCACCUCCAUCCUUCCCACUCACUACUCAGCACCUAUAGCCUUGUCGCUCUCCCCAACACUCUGCUGAGACUGUUGUCACCAAAAACACUAUUGUCCGGCUCCCUGUUGAAAGGACCGACUCUCAGGAGAUGAAGAUCCAAUCACUCUAUCAAAGAAUAUGAGCAUUUCCGAGGCUCUUGUAAGACAUCCAGCCUCCAGAACUGUGAGUACUAUGCUGAAGAGAGCCCUCAUCAGCACCUGACCAACCUGACCAUGCUGCACCCUCAUCUUAGACGUUCAGCCUCCAGAACUGUGAAUACUAUGCUGAAGAGAGCCCUCACCAGCACCUGACCAUGCUGCACCCUCAUCUCAGAUGUCCAGCCUCCAGAA